rnacentral:rRNA from 1 species
UACGUAGGUCCCGAGCGUUGUCCGGAUUUAUUGGGCGUAAAGCGAGCGCAGGUGGUUUAUUAAGUCUGGUGUAAAAGGCAGUGGCCCAACCAUUGUAUGCAUUGGAAACUGGUAGACUUGAGUGCAGGAGAGGAGAGUGGAAUUCCAUGUGUAGCGGUGAAAUGCGUAGAUAUAUGGAGGAACACCGGUGGCGAAAGCGGCUCUCUGGCCUGUAACUGACACUGAGGCUCGAAAGCGUGGGGAGCAAAUAGG